UACAGAGGGCGCGAGCGUUGUCCGGAAUCACUGGGCGUAAAGGGCGCGUAGGCGGCCACCGCAAGUCGACUGUGAAAUCUCCGGGCUUAACUCGGAAAGGUCAACUGAUACUGUGCGACUAGAGUGCAGAAGGGGCAACUGGAAUUCUCGGUGUAGCGGUGAAAUGCGUAGAUAUCAGGAGGAACACCGGUGGCGCCGGCGGUGCUCUUGGCCGACACUGACGCUGAGGAGCGAAAGCGUGGGGAGCGAACAGG
rnacentral:rRNA from 1 species